rnacentral:tRNA from 1 species
CAUUAUGAAGCUAAACAGCAUUAACCUUUUAAGUUAAAGAUUGGGAUUAAUCAACUCCCCAUAAUGA